rnacentral:rRNA from 1 species
UACGUAGGGACCAAGCGUUGUUCGGAUUUACUGGGCGUAAAGGGCGCGUAGGCGGCGCGGUAAGUCACUUGUGAAAUCUCUGAGCUUAACUCAGAACGGCCAAGUGAUACUGCAGUGCUAGAGUGUGGAAGGGGCAAUCGGAAUUCUUGGUGUAGCGGUGAAAUGCGUAGAUAUUGGGAGGAACAUCGGUGGCGAAGGCGGCUACCUGGACGGGUACUGACGCUGAUGCGCGAAAGCUAGGGGAGCAAACAGG